UGCGGCCUACGGGGGGCAGCAGUGAGGAAUAUUGGUCAAUGGCCGCAGGGCUGAACCAGCCAAGUCGCGUGAGGGAUGACGGUCCUAUGGAUUGUAAACCUCUUUUGUCGGGGAGCAAAAGACGCCACGCGUGGCGUUCCGAGAGUACCCGAAGAAAAAGCAUCGGCUAACUCCGUGCCAGCAGCCGCGGUAAUACGGAGGAUGCGAGCGUUAUCCGGAUUUAUUGGGUUUAAAGUGUGCGCAGGCGGAAGAUCAAGUCAGCGGUAAAAUUGAGAGGCCCAACCUCUUCGAGCCGUUGAAACUGG
rnacentral:rRNA from 1 species